UCUCACAAACGCCACAGGAGAGUGUGUGUGUGUGUGUGUGAGUCUGGGUGUGUGUGUGUGAGUUUGGCUAGCUGAGCAGCGAGGGGUACAGAACAGGGGGCUCUGGUGUCUUUAUAUCCCACACCUCUAUGUCUGUGCCCAACACACAUGCUCUGGCGGUGCUGGAUCAGGGCUGGAGGCCCCCCAGGGGGGGACGGGGGGGGAUUUCCUGCUUAUCGGGUUGGAAUUUUAUUAUUUUCAGCUAUUUGGAUCCUAAUGGUUCCACCUUCUCUCCGUCUGCCGCAAUUUCACCCUGUCACGCCAAUAGCAGCCUGUCUGUCUGCCUCUUCCUCUCUUCCUCUCCUUGCACUGCCUCACCCCUACUUAUCCUGCUAAUUAUCAUGAACUCCCUCCACUUCUCGCUCCCUCUCUGACUCUGUCUCCGUCUCUCCCUCACCCCCACUCUCUCCCUUCUGCCUCCUCCUCGCUCCCCCUCCCCCUUUCUCCCCCUCCACCUUUCUCUCCUCCGUCUCAGGCGAGUAAUGUAUCGGUCAGCAUUCUAGGAAGGAAGUACUGAGCUGAUACACUAAUUACUGUGUGUGUGUGUGUGUUUGUGACAAGGCUGAUAGGCAAAGCUUGGGAAUCUGGUGGUGAUAAGCAUCCCCAAAAGGAUAGAUCCAGUUGUGUGUGUCUGUGUGUCAUAAAAUAUGAAUUAUAAAGGAGAGACCAGGGUCCGAAGCAUCCGGUUUGACUCUCACACGCAAAGGUUGUUUUCUUCAGUUUCUCCAGUAGAGGCCUUCAGGUUCUCCCAACUGCUUUCAGCUCUCCCUUCCCUCAAUAUCUUUCCAACCCUAUUUUUCUCAAACCCUCCCGCUCUUUCUCUCGGUCUGUCUUUCACUUUAUCUGACUUUCUCUCCAUCCCUCCCUUUAUCUCUCUUCUCUCUCGUUCUCCUGUUGUCUCUCUUCCUCUCUUUCUUUCCAUCUCUCCCUUAUUCUUCUCUCUCAUUCUGUUGUCUCUCUUCCUUUCUCUCCAUCCCUCCCUUUCUCUCUCGUUUUCCUGUUGUCUCUCUUCCUCUCUUUCUCUCCAUCCCUCCCUUUCUCUCUUCUCUCUCGUUCUCCUGUUUUCUCUUUCUCUCCAUCCCUCCCUUUCUCUCUGUCUCAUUCUCCUGUUGUCUCUCUUUCUCUCUGUCUCUCCCUCCUGACCACGGUUUGUCCAUCUCUUCUUCCUUCUGUCCCUUUUUGUCCGACUGUUGUUAGUAUAUCGUAGUGGUUUGAUUAUUUAUGUACUCCGAACAGAUUAAAGUAAAUAAAUGUCACUUUUCCUCCAUUGCCACUGGUUACUCGACUGUCCCCUUCAUCUUGUCUCUCUGCAGUGUUUAUCUGGUUUUCCCAUUCAUGUCUGACUGUGGUUUCUGUGUUCUGUUGUCUUCUGAAGCGGUGGUGUGUCAUCGCUAAAGAUAGUGGACUGUUGGUGCAGUCUACUCUCUGCCCGCAAGCGGAAGUGUAGAGAGUGUCUGGUGAUAUGGCUGCUCAGAUCCCCUGUUUAGGGGCCCGUUCUGGUGGUCAGACGCCCUGUUUAGGGGCUGUCUGGUAAUCAGAUGCCCUGUUUAGGGGCCGGUUCUGGUGCUCAGAAGCCCUGUUUAGGGGCCGUUUCUGGUGGUCAGACGACCUGCUUAGGGGCAGGUUCUGGUGGUCAGACGCCCUGUUUAGGGGCCGGUUCUGGUGGUCAGACGCCCUGUUUAGGGGCCGGUUCUGGUGCUCAGACGCCCUGUUUAGAACCGGUUCUUAUGCUCUGGACUGAUGGUUCUGCAGGCAGAGGGUUAGCUUGCACAGGAUACAAAAGAGUGCCGAAGGUGUGUGCCGGGGAUUACGUUUGAUGGUCGCUGCCUUCAGAUGAAGUUGCAGACGUUGAUGACAUUACGAGCCAACAAUGGGCAAAAUGAAAAAUAACCCAAUGUAAAAAUACAAGGGAGGAGAUAAAUAACAAUAAUCAUUUGACGGCCCUCGAAUGGUCUGCAUCUCCAUAAAGAAAGGUUGGCCAGGUCUUAAGAACAGACGGCCGUAAUGCCGGGAAAACAUAGAGGGUACUGUGUAAGCCACGGUUUGCCUUCUAUUUGGACCUUUGCAUUCUGGGCACCACUGUAUUCUGAAUGUAGGAGGAAUGCGUCUUCUCUUUCUCUUUCUGUAAUCUGCCCGUCACCUGAUGAUGUCACAGCGUUCCCUCUGCCCUCUUUCCAACACAACCUCUUGUGUUUCCCCCAGGAUCCCCCCUGUUGUUUUGAUCACCAUGGUAACGCACAGACAUACACACGCACGCACACAUACGCACACGCGUAAAAACCCCUUUGAUUACCGCUGACCUCUUGACGUCUUGACCUGUAAUGACACGGCUGCAUUUUUGAUAGGCCAAUCAGCAUUUGGCGCCACACAGUUUCUCAGAAGGGCAGUCUGUGACCUGAUAAAGCCCUCUGAUAGGCCCCUGCUGAUGCAUUUCCUGUUUUGCUACGCAUGUUUUUUUAUGUUCCUCCACCAGCUGGUGGUGACACUCUUCAGAGAGAGAGAGUGUGUGUGUGUGUGUGUGUGUGUGUGUGUGUGUGUGUGUGUGUGUGUGUGUGUGUGUGUGUGUGUGUGUGUGUGUGUGUGUGUGUGUGUGUGUGUGUGUGAGAGUGCUUGGAGGGGCUGGAGUUUUUGAAAACCCAAGGCUACGUUCACUGCAUUACGUUUACAACCUGACAUACAUGUUUAAUGUGGAAGACUAUUUUGUGCCUGGAGGGAAUGUGACCCUACAAAGUCUUUGGGUGGAGGUAUGUCCUCAGUGAUCCAGCCUCCAACAAAUGAAGUAAAAAAAACUGACAUUGGAUAUGUCCUGAGAGGCAGCCUGACCUCUGGGUGGGACCUGUAGUAUAACAAAUCUUUAAUUGUAAUUAGGACAAAAUAUAAUUGUGGGGAAUUAAGCAACAGUGUACAUAUUUCAAACACAAGUUAUUGGAAUGGGGUUUACUGGUGUGUAAAAAGGCUUAUACUUAUAAUAACCUUCUGUUAUAAGGCAUUUAUAAGCCUUAAAUUACUGAUAAACUAAUAAUUCACAACACAUUUCUAUACAUUUGUAGAUGAUUCAUAAGUUAUGUUAAAGGAACCCUAUUGUACCACCAGGUGGGAUGUUGAUUUGCUAGCAAUUAAUAGCACGUCUAAAUCUACGGCUAAGACAUCCUUACUGUACCGACCGCAAUUUAUUGAUUCACCUUCUUCUGACAAAUGUACUUCGCUUUGUAGUCGCUUUGGAUAAAAGAGUCUGCUAAAUGCCCUCAAUGUAAAUGUAAAUCUACCCUUUGGAAAAGUGGGAGUGUCCAGCCAGAUGUAUGACAGCCUACCACUGGAUGGUAUGCCACAGCAUUUACUAAUGUUAAUCUCAUCAUUAACUAUCUGCUUAGAAAUAACUUAUGACUGAACGUUAAUAUUAAGUUUGAAUGAAAAUCUAUGAAUUAAAAUGAAGAUGCAAAGAAAUAAGUCAAUAAAGUCAAUGCAUACAAAAAAGUCCACAUUAUAACGUGUAUUUUUUGAGCCUGUGCGUCUGUUUUCAUUGGGGCAUAAAGCUCUUUAUAUUCCUUCCACAUGAUGAAGGAAGUAUGUUUGUGUUGCAGUGAGAAGCUUCAGGCAACAUUCCCGGGUACCCUGCAUAUCUGUAUUUGGGGUGGGGGUCUGGUCCUGUUGUCGUGCGCUUUACCAGACAGAGGUGGGGGUGAGGGGUGGAUGGUGUCGGGGUGCACACAGACAAAGGGGAUAAUGACAGCAGACAGCUGUGCGUGUGUGCUAUGGGGUUCAACUCGGGGGACGCAAAGGGGGGUAUGGUCGACCGUAAGGAGCUGGGAUUUUGAUUUAUUUGGAAUAAAGACAUAUCCAAGGGAUAAAAGAAAAACAUGACUAAGUGCAAGCACUUAUUUCCAUCAUGGUCCCUGAUGGGAAUGGGUGCCAUUGUGACAGUAGCUUCAUUUAUGGGUUGAGUGUUUCGAUGGGUCUCUGCAGUGACCUGGUGUAGUGUGUGGUGACCUGGUGUAGUGGUCUCUGUAGUGACCUGGUGUAGUGGUCUCUGCAGUGACCUUGUGUGGUGACCUGGUGUAGUGGUCUCUGCAGUGACCUGGUGUAGGGGUCUCUGCAGUGACCUGGAGUACUGUGUGGUGACCUGGUGUAGGGGUCUCUGCAGUGACCUUGUUUAGUGUUUGGUUACCUGGUGGAGGGGUCUCUGCAGUGACCUGGUUUAGUGUGUGGUGAUGGGAUGUUCUGGCCGGGUGGAUGGACUCUGUGCUGGUUGUUGUUGUUGUCUGUUGUGGGCCUCCAACAGAUGGAAGUAGGCUACAGGACUUUUAUGGGGGUUGUGGGCCGGGGGGUUGGCCAGAGGUCUGGGUGAUACUUGGAUCAGGCUGAUCUCUCCCUCAAAGAUCUCGCUGUCACCAGAGUUCACCAUCUCCAGUAACACUCGCCACAGACAUGCCCGGACAUGCAAUCACAUACACUCACACACGCUCAAUAGAUAUACACACGGGUGCGCGCACAAGUGUUGGUGUGUGUGUGUGUUUGCAUUACUGGGGGCCAUUCCAUUUAAUCUGUUUCUCUCUAUGUCUCUUUCUGUCUCUGUCUCUUAUUCUCUCGUUCUCACUCUCUCUUGUACUCUGUGUCUCUGUCUCUCUCUGUCUGGCUCUUCGUCUCUGUGACUUCCUUUCUCUCUCUCUCUCUAUGUCUAGCCCUCUGUCUCUCUGAAAGGGAAGGCUUCUCAGUAAGCUCUUGUGUUGGCUAAUGUUUGUAUGUUUCUAAUUAUCAGUGUUUCACGUAGCUUCACGUUCAAAGCUACGUGAUCAGACCGGUUUCUGUGAUAAGGGAACCGAGGGCAGGUCAGGGAAGUCUUUCUGGUCUCUUCCUCUGGGUUGUGUGUAUGUCAGAGCGAGGGAGCCAGGCUGAGAGAGUGUGUGUGUGUGUGUGUGUGUGUGUGUGUGUGUGUGUGUGAAGCCCACCCAGAUGCCUGGAAGUAGGAGCUGUUUACAGUCACCAAUCUGAACCUCCCUCCAGCUCAUGCUCUUCCUCCUCACUCCUCCCCCUCCCCGUUCCCCAGCCCCCUUUCUGCUUGUGUGAACAACCUCAACAGGCCGGAGAAAUCAGGUCGCUAUGGCAACGGGCCCAUGCUGUGAGCUGGGUUUCCUCCUCUGCCAUAAGAAGAGCGUGCCCGGCGUACCCCCGAAGCGUCCCGGUCCCGGUCGUCAGCGUCCUAUAGGACGGCUGGGAGGGCUGAGUGGGACAGGUCCCGGUCGUCAGCACCCUAAAGGACGGCUGGGAGGGCUGAGUGGGACAGGUCCCGGUCGUCAGCGCCCUAAAGGGCGGCUGGGAGGGCUGAGUGGGAUAGGUCCCGGGCGGCUGGGAGGGCUGAGUGGGACAGGUCCCGCUCGUCAGCGCCCUAAAGGGCGGCUGGGAGGGCUGAGUCGGCAGGUCCCGGUCGUCAGCGCCCUAAAGGGCGGCUGGGAGGGCUGAGUGGGACAGGGCUUCCCUCCAGAGAAGAACACACUCGUCUGGCAACCAGACGGUUGCAUGUUGAAGACCCUCCUUCUGGCUCGCUUCACUCAACGUGCCCCCGAGCAAGGGCCCCCGUCCUGAACGCUCACCACAGCUGUGAGAAACGUGCUGUAUAAUUGCCAUUUGUGUGUCCGCUGAUGGCUCUCUUCAUGUGGCGCGCGCCCCUGGGAAGAGGGAUGCGUUGGGAUCACCCCAGGAGGGAGCUCUGAUUGCAUGAGAAAGACUCUUGACAUUAAUUCAAUGGCUGAAUGACUCAGAGUGUUUACCAUUCCAAUGGCCGCUCUGCCCUCUCUCCAGUUGUGUUUGGUGAUCGGUUGUGCAGCCAUCUUUAUUUUUUAUUGUAUGCCUUAAUAUUUUAAUUUUUUCCAAUAAUGAUGAAAUAUUAUUAGUUCUCUAGAUUUAUGAACCAAUAAGUUUGUUCUGAUCCACUGCCACGCUGGUCAUUCCUGCCCCUGCAUCACUGGUUCAGAUUUCCCCUGGUCCUCCCCAAGUUCAGUGUGUGAACUUGGGGAGGACUGAAUGAGCCUUGCUGUGAAAAACACCACAGCUCUGUUAAUGACCAGAGUUCUGGAGAUGCCCGGCGGGGAAGUGUUGUUCACUGUUAUCCCUGUAACCUCACGAGCUGUGGUCUCUCUCUCUCGAUCUCGCUCUCUCUCUCACUCAUAUACAGUCCUUCCUGUUGUCUUUGCACUCUGUUGAUCUCUCGCCAUCCGCCAUCUUUGCGUCUGUCUAUUUAUCUUGUAUAUCUCUCUCGUUAAGGCCAACAUAGUAUCACAUCCCCCAUGGGGUUUCUAACCACAUCAUCAACACCUCUCAGUAGGCAGGCCACAACAGAUCCCUGAAAGCCCUCUUGCUCCUUCUCUCUCCUCAGCCAGUGUUGAUGCUGUGCAGGCGGUGUGAUGAGAACCUUGAGUGUCCUGGCCCAUCUUAUCCUGGUCCACAUGCGUUCUCAUCCCCUAAAAUGUGCGUUAUGCUGGAGAGAGAGUGGGCGGGACUUCCGAGAAUGCUUUGGAGAGAGCGAUGUCAAUAUCGGAUGCAUGUUUUGGAUAUUGGAAUUGCAUCAAAUUCUUCUGCUACAAAACCCUUUUGUCAUUGUAGUCCUUGUUCUUGUCUUCUUCUUCUUCUUCCCUGGGGACUGUUAACUGCCAAACACGGCUCACAUGAAGAAUGAGAUCAGAAAAUAUUUUUGGGGUGUAGGAGGGACCAGAGCUGAACGAUCCCAGCAGAUCCCACGCAGCCCCCUGCUCAGCGGCCUGUCUCAGCCCUGCCGUCUGUCUGUAUGUGCAGACAGACCAGGCUCUCGGAGGCUUCCUCCCCUAGGGCCCCUCAGUCGGCCCCACGGUGACUCUCAGGGUCAUGAGGGGAUUCCAUCGGUAUCGCAUUCUAUUAGAUUUUUCUAUAUGCGAUUCGAAACGUGCUUCUUGCUUCAGUACAUUGUGGGCCGAUAUCAGGACCUGCUUUAGUCCGAUGUGCGCUCAGAACGCGGUGUGGCAAAUUAUAGUAUGAAAGUGUUUAUGAGUUUAUGCCGUUAUAUAUUUGAAAAAGUUCCAUCGACUGAUUGCAAGGCCGUGAACACACCAAGGCAAACUCAGGACGAAAUGGAACGUUGAAUUGUUUCACAAUCAUAGAAAGUAUGCAUCGUUAUUCUUACACACACACACACACACACACACACACACACACACACACACACACACACACACACACACACACACACACACACACACACACACACACACACACACACACACACACACACACACACACACACACACACAC